rnacentral:rRNA from 1 species
CUGUCUCCUCUUUCAAUCAGUGAAACUAAUCUCCCCGUGAAGAAGCGGGGAUACUUAUAUAAGACGAGAAGACCCUAUGGAGCUUCAAACCCAACUACACCCCUAACUCUAUAGCCCCUCAACCACACUGGCCCCUGUAUAGUUGAUUUUAGGUUGGGGCGACCACGGAGUAAAACAAAACCUCCAUAAUGAACGGGCCUACCCCCUUAUCUAAGAACCACACCCCCUAAGAAUUAGAAUACUAACAUAAAAUGAUCCAUUAUUUGAUUAAUGAACCAAGUUACCCUAGGGAUAACAGCGCAAUCCAUUUCGAGAGCCCAUAUCGACAAAUGGG